rnacentral:rRNA from 1 species
ACGGAAUGGAAAGUCCGGCCACAGCGGGUGAUAGCCCCGUAUGAGAAAUGCAGAUUGUGGAACUAGGCGCGAAUAGAGUAGGGCGGGACACGUGAAAUCCUGUCUGAAUAUGGGGGGACCAUCCUCCAAGGCUAAAUACUCGUAAUCGACCGAUAGUGAACCAGUACCGUGAGGGAAAGGCGAAAAGAACCCCGGGAGGGGAGUGAAAUAGAUCCUGAAACCGCAUGCAUACAAAAAGUCGGAGCCGCAAGGUGACGGCGUACCUUUUGUAUAAUGGGUCAGCGACUUACAUUCAGUGGCGAGGUUAACCGAAUAGGGAAGCCGUAGAGAAAUCGAGUCCGAAUAGGGCGAAUAGUCGCUGGGUGUAGACCCGAAACCAAGUGAUCUAUCCAUGG